CCUACGGGUGGCUGCAGUGGGGAAUAUUGCACAAUGGGCGAAAGCCUGAUGCAGCAACGCCGCGUGAGCGAUGAAGGCCUUCGGGUCGUAAAGCUCUGUCCUCAAGGAAGAUAAUGACGGUACUUGAGGAGGAAGCACUGGCUAACUACGUGUCAGCAGCUGCGGUAAUACGUAGGGGGCUCGCUUUAUCGGGAAUUACGGGGCGUAAAGGGUGCGAAGGUGGUUUCUAAGGUCAGAGGUGAAAGGCUACGGCUCAACCGUAGUAAGCAUUUGAAACUGGGAAACUUGAGUGCAGGAGAGGAGAGUGGAAUUCCUAGUGUAGCGGUGGAAUGCGUAGAUAUUAGGAAGAACACCAGUUGCGAAGGCGGCUCUCUGGACUGUAACUGACACUGAGGCACGAAAGCAUGGGGAGCAAACAGGAUUAGAUACCCCAGUAGUC
rnacentral:rRNA from 1 species